rnacentral:misc_RNA from 1 species
CAGUGUCGGCCGGCACAA